rnacentral:rRNA from 1 species
UGCCAGCAGCCGCGGUAAUACGGAGGGGACUAGCCUUGUUCGGAAUUACUGGGCGUAAAGCGCACGUAGGCGGAUCAGAAAGUAUGGGGUGAAAUCCCAGGGCUCAACCCUGGAACUGCCUCAUAAACUCCUGGUCUAGAGUUCGAGAGAGGUGAGUGGAGUUCCGAGUGUAGAGGUGAAAUUCGUAGAUAUUCGGAGGAACACCAGUGGCGAAGGCGACCUCCUGGACUGAUAUUGACGCUGAGGUGCGAAAGCGUGGGGAGCAAACAGGAUUAGAUA